GUUUAUAGUAACUAGUAACUAAUGGUGACCACCGUUAUAUAGUAACUAAUAAGCCAAGAGGCUAUCUUCACAUCCUAGGAUGUGACCGUUAUUAGUAACUCAGUUCCUUACUAAGGAAGUUAACGGCCGGACAGUGUUGCACACGCAGUUAUAUGGGUAAUCAGGAGUAUUUUCUUGGCGAGGUCACCCGGUAGAUGACCUCUCAUAAUGGCCGCCAUUUUUGAUCUGACUCGGACAGUUUUUACUAGUAUUCAGGAUGAAAAUAAACACCAAGGCUGCUGCCACGAGAUGUUUUUAAUACUGUUAACGGAGUAUUAUUAUAGCUUAGUUAAAGUACAUGUACUUUCAUGAGACCAUCGACUGAUGCGAAACAACGACGGGCAGAUUGCCUUUCGACUUUGUGGAUGGAUGUUUGACCCGAUCCCGCGUCUUUUCGCCAACAAAUCACGUCCAACUUUGAUAAGGCAUGUUAUAUAGCUCAACAGACCACUCGGUAUAUUUGAAUGAUAUGCCGCACACCAGGAGUUGAUUCGCCCCUCCACAAUCGAGCUUCAGCAUCCUUGAAGAAAACCCGCCCAGCCACCUGGAUACCAGGUGCCAGACGUCAACAUACAGCUGAACUGUGGAUACCAGAAAGCAGACCACACUGGGCCACCUCAAAGUCCUGGCUACCUACAUGUAGGAACUGAGCUUUGAGAAAACAAUGGCAAUAAAAAUUUGUGGAAACAAAUGCAAUUUAAAGUACUGUCACAGGUGUGAAUUAUUGUCUUAUGACUACUGUAUGUGAUCGCAUAUUAUUUCCCAAGAACUACUGAUACUUGUAACCUUAAGCCAGCAUUUUCAUUGUCAGUUUUUGUAUGAAUAUGAGCAGAUUAAGAAGUUCUUCAGUAAUUCAUACGUACAUGUGUUGAGCGUGCCUUCUCAUAGUUAUUGUUAUUAUAUUCAAUCAUAGAAACACGUUUCGUUCCACCGAGAUAGAUAACAUAACUACAAAAAUUAUAUAACAUUCUGAAUUAAGAUGAACUAGUGUUUAUUCCAUCCAUAAUUGAUAACGGUAGCUAUUUGUGCAAACUUCUCUGAUUGAAAAGUGCCUCAGGUUCAUGAGUUUUCUCGGAGAACACUACAUUCCCUACUGCAUGCAUGUUUUGUGGACUCAAUGUGUGGCUUGUGCCACAGGAAGUUGCCCUUCUGUACGUCACUGACCCCUACGCUGUGAAAAAAUCUGGUGAGAACCCUGUAUUCUACUUGGUCUCCAUUAAACAUAUGGAAAAACCAUAUGAAACAAUAGGAUUGAGGAGAAUGGUGAACAUUGUAACAAUGCUUUGAACAUGCAUGUACUUGUACCAAUGAGGGAAAUUUUACUGCAUUACAUGUGUACAUGAAGGAUUUCAAAGCUUGAAUUGAAAAAUCACUUUGCAGUUUAUUCCCCUAAUGUGAAAAAAAUUGAUUGAAAAUCACUUGUAGCCCAGGUGCUGAGUGGUCAUUGUGUGAAUUAUGUUUGUAUCAGAUUAACCAUUCAGUGAAGAAGUUCCUGAUCUUGUUUGUGAUUGUUUAGGAAUGGCCACAUUGCAGGAACAAAGUUGAGCUACAGUAGAAUCAGUCAAGUCAGGUUUAAGUCAAAGUAGUUUGGAGUAUUUGUUCAGUCUUAUGACUCCAGUACAUGAUGAUGACCCUGUGGAUUAUUGAUAUGUGUAGCAUUACGAGAAAGGUAGCUGAAAACACUGGUUUCACUGUCAUGUGUGUCAAUAAAAUCACACAAAUCUUG